UCCUAAAAAUCUCCCCCUUUGGCAAUUUUGUGACAAAAUAUCAUUACAUAAACCAACCUAAACUCUCAUAUUGGAGUUUACAUAACACACAUUAAUGCUCAAUUAAAACUAAACUAAGGGAAUGCUUUGCAUCACUUUUUAGUACUUAUCUUCUAACCUUGUAACCUGCACACAUAUAGAAAACUAUACCAAAGGUAAAAUGGUAUGAGAGAUAAAAUAAUGUCGUGAAAGAAAAAUAGGAUAGUUGGAGGUUUUGCUUGAUGGCUUGUGAAAUCAUGAAAAAGAACAUAUUCAUGUAGUGAUACCAAGGUACAAAGCAAAGCUUGAGAGGAAUAUAGAUGUAUGCAAAUCAACCAAUCAUAAUAGAAGUUAAAUAAAACCUAAUAAAUUAACAGUAAAGAAUAGGGGCCUUCUUGUUGGGAUAGAGCCCUUAAAAGCAUGACAUGAUGUAAUAAAUUUGGAAUUCAUUAUUUAUUUAAUGAUGUUCCAAUUUCACUUUUAUCUAUCCUUAUUCAAUGUAUUAUACUUUAUGAGCAUUCUUGUCUGCACCUUUUUCAUUGUACGUGACUUAGGUGCAUUGGCAGUUGCACAGAAGAUCUAAGUCAUGGGUUCCUUGCAAAUAGAUGACUUGUUCAUAGUCGGGUCAUGAGCCUAGGCGGUUCAUUAAAGGUUGUAGUGCACCACCUCCUAUUUAGAGGGAUGGCUGGUCUUGGCUUUUGGGAUGGGUUUCCAUGAUGAGUGCACUAGUAUGUAUGGUUACACAUUGGAUAAUGCCUAUGGUGAGUUAUAACUUAAGGCUAUCAAGGAGUCAUGACCUCACUAAGUUGCUUCAUUGUGUUGUCCGUCAAACUUGAGAGAAUAUUGAACUUGUGCUAAAGUUAGCAAUGACUUUGUCUUACGGGUGAGACCAUAAGUUGAUUAUAUAUUCCUUAUGGAUUGGGUCAUUGUUGAUGGAAGCCGGUAGCAAUAGGUAUUCUCAAUAGAUGUACCAUGAUAUCUUUUGGGAUUGAGACAGUGUGUCCAUUUGGGUGAUCCUAAGGAGGUGUGUUCAUGAAAACUAUGGCCAUAGUAGUUCCUUAAGUGGAACUUGACAUAGGUUCUUUGAGAGCUAAGAUAUAUCAAUUGAACACACAAUAAGAGGAUCUAUAACUUAAGGAUAGUAGAAGUAGUCUUGAAAGGUUGAUAGUUUUCACUUUAUUAAACUACAAAUACCAGUUCAUAGGGAGAUCGAACACAAUGAAUAGUAGGUCAAGGUAAUGAGCACUUGUUGUCUCAUUGUUAUUUACAUAGGAUACUAAAGUUUAGUUAAUUAAUCAAUUAGAACCCAUUUGGGCUAAAUUAAGUGACCCAAGCCCAUGUGGGCUCAAGCUACUUAAGCCCACAUAGGAACCCUGUAAAUACCCCAUUGGGGUUAGAGUUUCCAUAGCUUUUGUCUUCCACCAUCCAGAGAGAUAGAGAGCCAUUGUCUCCACCCUCUUCUCCCCCCUACCAGAAGUGUGCCAAGAUCAAGGUUCAAGUCAUCAAGAAGAAGACUUUGGGUUUACGAGACUUUUACGAUUUCGAUCUUCAUCUUCACCAUGUGGAUUUGAUUCGAGAACAUCCAAAUAUAAGGUAUGGUUUGUAAGAACUUUUUGAAUCCUUUUAAAGUAUAAAAAUGUUAUUUUUCCGUUGUGCAUAGGAUUUAGAAAAAGCGUAGGAUAGUUAUGCAUGUUCCUAACCCGAUUCGGACUUGGGAAAUAGAGAGAUUUGAGUUUUUCCCAUCCUGGUAUAAGAGCCAUAGGUUAGUAAUCGUGCUAGAACCAUUGUAGGGUGUGUUAACUUGGUUUUGCAAGGUUUUUGUUUAUCCCAUGGCCCCAAGGAUAAUUAAUGUGCGUUCUUUAUUAUGAUCUUAUUAUAAUGUGAUGGUUAUAAUUGUGAUUGCUUUUAUUGGGAUGUAAUAAUUAUUUAGAUUGUUGUUUACUUUUCCUAUAUGGGUUGUAAGCCUCAUAAGAGGCAUAUGAUUUUUGUUGUUUUGUAAAAAUCCCGCUUUUAUCUUAGAAUGAUAUGUAAACUCUAAAACUUUGGAGUAUAGGAUUUUGUUGUAAAAAUUCAUUUUUUUUUUUUAUCAUUCUUUGUAACCUAUGGAGAGUAUGGAAGUAGUGCAAAGCAUCACAAAGUGUUCGCGCACAUUCCCUUGCUGGAAAAGAGAAAAGAAGGCUUUUUGGAGCUUCUUUCAUGAGUUCCUAUGGUGAUUUAAGGGAAAAGAAAGAAUCUUGGAAGUUCUUGAUUUUAGAUCAUUGGCAGCAUAGUUUUGUCAUUUUUAACUUAAAAUUGGAAUGACAUCCCAUGAUUUUCUUGGGUCAAACCACUUAUGGUUUUGGAGCCUAGGAAAUCAUGAAUCCAACACUUCAAAUGGAUCAUAUUUCGGAGUUGAAACGAGAGAGUUAUAACCAAUUGAAUCAAGGUUGUGCAGAGAGCAUGGCAGCGACAUUGACUUCAACUCAAAAUCGAGGCUACAUCCUAUAAUUUUUUUAGGGCAAAUCAAAUAUGAUUUUGAAUCUUAGGAAGUCAGAAAUCCAGUGCUUCAAACGGAUUUCAAUUGAAAGUUGAAACGAGGGAGAUGUGGCUGAUUGAAGUAAGGUUACGCAAAGGGCGUGCAAUUAUAAGAUUGAGUUUGGACCAAAUUGUUUUUUUUUUGUUUGGGCUCAAUUUUUUAGCCUCUUUUUGGCGCCCCCCCUUUUUUUUUAAUGGCAAUUGGGCAUGUUGGGUUUUUCUUUUUUCACUAACCCUAUCUUUGGUUGUAGGACCAUUUUGGUAAUUUGGAUUUUAUCCAAGUUUUAGUUACCAAAUAUGCAACAAAAUCCCUAAGGCCAUGGGGAUUAUUUAUUUAAUUUCUUUUAUGUAUUUUAUGCUUUUUUAUUUUUGGCUUAGAAUAUAUUUUGGUAUUCUUAAGUUAAUGAAUUUUCGUAUUUUUUGGUUGUUAAGUUAAUGAUAAUUGGGAGACUUGCGAAUCCUGGAGAUUGUUUCAAGGCUUUCUGGUUGUUUCUAACGACAUGACAAGAAUCUUCUAAUGUUGGGUUUUAGACGUUUGUAGCCAUGAUUCAGGUAUCUUCUGAAUUGAGGCUCAGUGUUGCUAGAGAACAGUUACACUCUUAUUCUUUGAAGACAAGUGUAGAUGGAGAUGCUUUAUGGCUUGAGCACUGAUGAACAUGUAUGGUAAAUGUGGGAGCAUUGGAGAUGUUCAGUGAGUCUAUGAUCAGAUGCCAGAGAAGACCAUAGUAAGAUGGAAUUCUAUCAUUGUGAGUUAUGCACUUCAUGAUUAUAGUGAGAAGCCAUUGAGUAUGCAUCACAAAAUGCAAGUCCCAUCCUUACAGGGCCAUGCACGGUCACUUACCUUGGCUUAUUUUCACAGUCCAUAUCUGCAUGCAUGCAUUUGACUAUUUUUUCUGAAUAACUUGAUUUCCAAAUGAUUUAAUUCACAACUCUCCAUCCCUUUUUAAAAAAUAUUUUAAAAUAAGCAAGAAAUCAAAUCCCGUAAUUCCAAAUAAUGGAGUUAUGGGAAUUGAUCCAUGCAAAAUAAAUUGGGCUUUGGUGGGGACCCAACAUCAAAUAAAUUUUCACCAAAAUAAAAGUGAAUUUGAAAUGAAUGUCAUGUGUGCUGUUGAUGGUUCUUUAUCUAUUUAGUGACACACAAGCUAUAUUUUGUAUUCAUUAAUUGUGCACUAACCCCAUUUCUUGAUAGUGCAUGGUGGUUCAUUGCCAAGGUAUGUAUUUACUCGCGUCUUGGUCAUUCUCUUUGCAUGUUCUAAUUCUCAUAUGUGCAUGAUCAUUUAAGGUAUUCAUUGAUUCAUUCAUCAAUUGUCAUGUUAACUUAAUUUUAUUAGUAGAAACCCAACUCUAGGGACUUAGAGGGUGCUACAGUCGUUAUUGUACCUUUCCGACAAGUAACCUGACCCCCGAACCCGAUCCGGUUUUUCACAUACCACUUUUUUAAAAAUAAGAAGUCACAUUUAGAGUUUUCUUUCUUAUUUUGUUUACCUUUUAAAAAUAAAACAAAAAUAAGUGGUGACUCCCAAUCAUUUUCUAAUAAAUAAAAUCAUUUUCAAAAUAAAAAUCGAGCUCGCCAUCUAGUAGAAGCGCAUGAGCCGAAAUGCGGGGUCCAUAAAAUAUAAUUUAAACUAUAAAUAAAAACUCUUUUUACUUAAUUUUAUUCUUAUAGCUAAAAUUUUAAAGUGAAAAUGAAGUGCUGCAUGAGUGUUUCAUACCAAUUAUUUUCUUCAUGAAAAAUUUACUAAUAAAUAUAUAGUCUUUCCAAAUAAAUGAUGGCUAAAAUAUAAUCAUUAAUUAUAUAUAUUAAUUUUAACCAUAGUAUGUAAAAUUGUAUUAUUGAUAAAAAUUUAUCAAUUUCACUUAAACAAUAUAAUUUUAUUUCCAUGAAAUAUUAUGCACAAUGUUUAAAAAUUUAUGAAUAGCAUAUGAUAAGUAUGAAAUUAAAUGUGUUUAGUAAACCAAUUUAAUAACUCAAAGUGACUUAAUGACUUAAUUUAAGUUGUUAAGUAAAUUAAGUAUAUUUGGUAAAAUAACUUAAAGUAAAAAAUAAUUUUAGGUAAUAAGUAAAAACAAUUAAUUCAUUUUUAAAUUUACAUCUUUAUUUUAUUUUUUUACCAUCAUUUGUCAUAAUUUCUCAUAAUUUCUUUUGCUACUCCAUGACCUCCAUGAUGUGCCUAUUCUGUUCUAAAUUCAAAUUUUUUUUAUCUUGUUGAUAAGUAUAAAAAAAAAAGUACAUCAUUGAAAAAGAAAUUCAACAAAACAACUUUAAGUAAUAAGUAAAAACAAUUAACUCAUUUUUAAAUUUACAUCUUUAUUUUACUUUUUUACCAUCAUUUGUCAUAAUUUCUCAUAAUCUCUUUUGCUACUCCAUGACCUCUAUUGUUAUUUGAUCUCCUUUACCCAAAUAAUAAUUUAUGAGAAUAAAUAUAUCAAUUUGAUGAUUUAUAAUAAAUUUUAAAUUAAUUUUAUCAAACAACCUUGAUACUUAAAGUAAUAAGUUUUAAAUCAAUGACUGAAGUAUGAUUUAACUUAAAGUCAACUUAAAUCAUUAAGUAAUAAGUAUUAAGUUUACCAAAUAUUCCUUAAAUUUGUAAAGAAUAAAACAAACUUUCAUUAUUUAUAUUAUUGAAUAUUCAAAUUAAAUUUACUACUUUGAAUUAAAAUAAUACAAAACACUUUUUAUUUAUAAAAUUGAGCACCUAUAAUUUUGGUCUUAAAAUUUUUACAAGGGUGUUUUGUAAAAUUUAAUACUUAUUACUUGAUAAGUUAAGUUGACUUUAAAUUAAAUUAUUCUUAAACUAUUAUUUAAAACUUUAAGAUUUAAGGUUGUUUAAUAAAGUUAAUUUAAAUUUUAUUAUAAAUCAUCUAAUUAAUAUAUUUAUUCUUAUUAAUUUUAACUAAUAUUUAUCUUCACUGAUUUUAAUUAAUAUUUAUCUUCAUUAAUUUUAACUCAUAUUUAUUUUUAUGGAAAAGUUAGGUUUUGGGGUCUUGAUAUGGAAUAUAUAUGGUUUUGAAAACCCAAGUAUAUAAAAUAUGAGAUGUCACUGUUAAUAUCUAAAAUAAUAUACAAAACAUGCACUAUUUCCUGUUUAUUUUUACUCUUCCCAGAUUGCCCCUAAAUUUCUCCAUCUCAUCAGCAAAUCCUCUCCAUGUCAGCAGAACACAAAGAAACCCGACCCGAGAACCAGGAAUCUCUCUCUCUUCCCGUCAUUUUGCCCUAACCUCAUCUCAAGAAAUUCCCAAUUUCUAAAUUUCUCAUCUUCUUCCCACAAGCCCCUCGUUGAAUUUGCUAGCUACCUCUUCAUGUCGCGGCAUUUCGGUCGACAACCCUUCAAUCAAAUCUUUCUCAUAUUUCAGAUACGUGGGUUUUCAAAACCAUAUAUCUUCCAUAGCAGCCUGCAAUCACAACUUUCCCUUUUUAAUACGCCUGCUUCACUUGCUCCAAUUUUAAAGUGCCCAAAAAAAUUUUCACUUGCGUAAUUUCCUCACGAAAAUGUCUUCCAUCGGAACUUCAAAGGGAAUCCUGGAAAUCGGAAAGUUCGCUUUCUAUGUCUCAAUCCCGAUUGAUCUGAUGUAUACUUUGGCAAACAAUUCCGAGAAUAUGAAGAAACUCGUCCACAAGGUAUUCUUUUUCCUCAGUCGGUGCUAUGAAAUUGGUGUGUUCUGGUUAUUGAAUCUGUGAUUACAUGACACCUGGGGAUUUUUUGAAGUAAAAGAGAAGAAAAUGCUUAAGAAAAUGGACCAUUCUGAAGCAUUUUAUUUUUCUUUCAUCCGAAUGGUCCUUAGUUUGUGGAGAAUAUUCUCGAUAGGGCUGAACUAGUUUUUCUUUAGAAGAUUGAAUCGAGAUUUAUUACGUUUUUGUGGUUUGGAAAAUCCUUAUUAAUUGGUUGAUAGAGUAAUUUUGGGAAUCCAUCAUUGAUGUUAGACAUUUUUUGAAUUGGGAACUAUUCUGAUUCUUACACGUCGUGUUUAGGUCUAACAUUUUCAGACUAUAAACUUCUUGGAUACGUGUCCAAUGUUCCUCAAAAGUCUCCUUACUUAUGCAGGGAUCAAAUAUCUCUUUUUUACUAGCUUAUACGAAUUUAUGAAUGAAGCAAUGGUAAGUUAGUAUAAUUUCUUAGGAAUUUGAUCAAAUAGAAUCUGCUUAUCCACCUUUGCUAAAAGGAUUCUCGAGGCUCUCAGAGAAUUAAUGGUAAACAAUAAGGAUAGGGAGAAUAAGGAGAUAAAGAGCAGAAGUAAGACAGGGUAGCUCCAAAAUAUUGGGGUUGUGACAAUGUUGAUAAUGUUGCUCUAGGCAAUACAUGACUAUGAAAGCAGACUCGACAUGGGUUUCCCCCAAACACUUGGAUUUUGCCUCUGGUUUCACAGGCUUUUGAAGUAUGGCUAGAUACUAGACCAGUGAUAGCCCCAAACACUAGGAUUUUGCCUCUGGUUUCAUGGGCUUUUGAGAUACAAGAAGGGACUAGGCUUGUAUAUAAUAUUUUGAGCUGCUUUUAAGGUUUAUGGCACAUUUUUUAUCUCUUAAUUGGAUUUGAAAUUCAAUACAAAACCCUAAAUGGUUGUUUACUAGUGAUCUUAUGUUUCUUUUUUGUAUUUUCCCAAUGAGAUGUUUUGCAACAAUAAAUGGCUGCUUAGGUGUUAAGGAAUGUUUUAAAAAAUUUCUUAAAUAAAAUUUUAAAUUGUUUUCAGGAAUAAUUUUUUUUUUUUUGAGAACUUAAAUGUGAAAAACAGUUUUCUUGGCUUUUUCUCCAUGAAUGCACUAGAAAGAGUUUUUAAGAAAAGAAAUGAAAUCAUCAAUCCAAUCAAAGAGAGAGGAAAAAAAAAAAGAAAUGAUGAAAUUAUCAAAAUGUUUCCUAGUUCCUGUUAGUUUUGUGUUGUAAGAAAACAUGUACGCUUGUAGGCUUGGUUAAAAUGUGUGAAAAUCAAUGAUACAUAUCAAGGUAGCUUAUUUAAAUCAGUGAUCAGGUUCAUAUUUAUUACGUCUUAGGUUUUAUUAGGUAAGUAGAGACUUAUGUUUUAAUUAGGUAAGUAGAGACUUAUGUUUUAAUUAUUCUUGUUGGUAUUAUCCUUUAUUCGUAAAAGCUAGAAUUCAUAUUUGUAUGUCUAUCAUCUUCUGAAAUACGUUCAUAUUGUUUGGUGGAAGUUUGAUGUAUAUUUUUGAAUUUACUUUGAUUAGUUUUCUUAAGACUUUUGUUGUGCUGAGGAGAGAAUUUGAUUAAUGUGCUUCUAAAGGAUUGUGGACUAUGUUGCAUGGGUUGGGGUAUGAGUGUCAAGUGCAGGUGUUUGUCUAAUUGUUCAAUCCUUCAUAACUCAAAUUUUAGGUUGUGAAGACUUGGCUAAAAAUGAUCCAAAAAAGGGGCAUGGACACCUUUUCCCUCUAAAAAAAAAAUCAAUUAAAAUAAAUUGACAUAAAAAUAAAUUGACAUGAAAAUAAAUUGACAAUGAAAAUGUCCUAUUUAAAAGCUCCCACCUUAAGGUACCCUAGGUACUACCUUAGCUAAACAUGAACUCAACCUCUCCCAAGCCUUGGGUCUUCCUUUGUGACCCUUAGAGCAUCCUAUUAUGUGGUUCUCUUGAGUGCUCAAGUGGUCCACCAAUGGUUUUUUGGGACUGUACCUUAGGUACACCUUAAUGACCUUUAAGUAUUACCUUAAGAGACCCUAGGUACUACCUUAGCUAAACUUGAACUCAACCUCUCCUAAGCCUCGAGCUUUCCUUGGCUUUCCUUUGUGAGCCUUAAAGCAUCUCAUUAUGUGGUUGAGCAUCUCAUUAUGUGGUUCUCUUGAGUGCUCAAGUGGUCCACCAAAGGUUUUUUGUAAUUGUACCUUAGGUACUACCUUAAGAGCCCUUAGGUACUACCUUAAUGGCCUUUAGGUACUAGCUAAAGGGACCCUAGGUACUACCUUAGCUAAACAUGAACUCAACCUCUCCCAAGCCUCGGGUCUUCCUUUGUGACCCUUAGAGCAUCCCAUUAUGCGGUUCUCUUAAGUGCUCAAGAGGUUCACCAAAGGUUUUUUGGGACUGUACCUUAAGUACUACCUUAAGGGCCCUUAGGUACUACCUUAAUGGCCUUUAGGUACUAGCUUAAGGGACCCUAGGUACUACCUUAAGGUAAACAUGAACUCAACCUCUCCCAAGCCUCGGGCCUUCCUUUGUGACCCUUAAAGCAUCCCAUUAUGUGGUUCUCUUGAGUGCUCAAGUGGUCUACCAAUGGUUUUUUGGGACUGUACCUUAGGUACUACCUUAAUGGCCUUUAGGUACUACCUUAAGGGACCCUAGGUACUACCUUAGCUAAACAUGAACUCAACCUCUCCCAAGCCUCGAGUCUUUCUUUGUGACCCUUAGAGCAUCCCAUUAUGUGGUUCUCUUCAGUGCUCAAGUGGUCCACCAAAGUUAUUUUGCACUGUACCUUAGGUACUACCUUAAGAGCCCUUAGGUACUACCUUAAUGGUCUUUAGGUACUACCUUAAGGGACCCUAGGUACUACCUUAGCUAAACUUGAACUCAACCUCUCCCAAGCCUCGGGUCUUCCUUGGUGACUCUUAGAGCAUCCCAUUAUGUGGUUCUCUUGAGUAUUCAAGUGGUCCACCAAAGGUUUUUUGGGACUGUACCUUAGGUACUACCUUAAGGGCCCUUAGGUACUACCUUAAUGGCCUUUAGGUACUACCUUAAGGGACCUUAGGUACUACCUUAAGGUAAACUUGAACUCAACCUCUCCCAAGCCUCGGGUCUUCCUUGGUGACCCUUAGAGCAUCCCAUUAUGUGGUUAUCUUGAGUGUUGAAGUGGUCCACCAAAGGUUUUUUAGGACUGUACCUUAGGUACUACCUUAAGGGCCCUUAGGUACUACCUUAAGAGACCCUAGGUACUACCUUAAGGUAAACUUGAACUCAACCUCUCCCAAGCCUUGUGUCUUCCUUGGUGACCCUUAUAGCAUCCCAUUAUGUGGUUGUCUUCAGUGUUGAAGUGGUCCAUUAUUGGUUUUUUGGGAUUGUAGCUUAGGUACUACCUUAAGGGCCCUUAGGUACUACCUUAGUGGCCUUGAGGUACUACCUUAAGGUAAACUUGAACUCAACCUCUCCCAAGCCUCGGGUCUUCCUUUGUGACCCUUGGACCAUCCCAUUAUGUGGUUCUCUUCAUUCCUCAAGUGGUCCACCAAUGGCUUCUUGGGACUGUAGCUUAGGUACUACCUUAAGGGCCCUUAGGUACCACCUUAAGAGACCCUAGGUACUAUCUUAAGGUAAACAGACUCUUUCCUUUAAGGAGAUAAGAGCUUUGAUGAACCAACUUGAGGAAAAUUUGACAGUAAUGAUGACAUGGAGUCAAUAUGGGGAUGAACUCAAUCGAUGGUACUAGCAAGGUAAGCAAUACUCCCAUUUAAAGGAUAUGUAUGUGUUUGGGGGGUGGAGUUGCAUUUGAGUAUGCUUAGCAUUUGUCAUGUUACUGAAAUGCAUGCUCAUCCCCCAUCUGCUUCUAAUAUUAGGAGUAUGCUUAACGAGAAAUACAUUACCUGCAUAAGUUGCUCAAAAGUUCAUCUGUUCAGUGUGCAUGCAAGUUAUACUAGCAUAUAAAAUGAAAAAUUGCAAACAGGACAUGUGAAAAAGGUCUAAUGUUAGAUCCCAGAUUUGAUUCAUAAUCCAAUGUGUCAUUUGUUUUUAACUAUGGUUAAACUUGAAAGAAAGAAAUUUAAAAUACUUUCACUCAAACCAACUUUAUUUGGUUGAGAAGUUUGUACCCUAUCCAAUUUCACCCAAACACAAGGUAGUAAAAAAACAUUAUCUGUAAUUGUACAUGUCAGCAGCAAGGAUGGCAUGAAUGUCCUUGUUCUCAAUAUAAGAUAAAGUGUAUAUCUCGGGGACAUGGGCUCUAAAAUGCAUGGCAACUAUGAGAACUGACCAAUAUUUGACCCAUUUCGAUGAACAUAGAUAAUGUAUUUGGAGACUGGCUCAAAAAGGGAUAGGAGAGUUAAGAUGAUCUCACUAGGUGAGUCUUGGAUUUGGAAUUUGAGGGCCUUCUGAACUCUUAGGAAUUAGAUCUGCUGGUAUGCUGAUGCUGACAAUUGAUUUGGUUUAUCCAUACAGGGGCUGGCUUGAGACUAGGUUCUGGAAAACAUAUGCUCACCUUGAAUCACAAAAUAGUGUAAGAGUGACAUAACCUGAACCUAAUUUUUAUGAAUGUUAUUGUAUGAUGGUACUUUUAGAAAGCUGAACUCAAACCCAACCACAUCAGACUUGGUGUGAUCAUAGUUAGAUAACUAUAUUGCAACAUCCCAUUUGAUGCAUGCAUUUUAAUGGAAAAUUUUCAACUACUUUAAAAGCUAGUCGCCGAAGCCAGUUCUUGGAGUGUUGCUGAUUUGUGUUGUUUAUAAUGAAAUGUGGAACCGUGCUUACAUGCAGCCAUUUCCUGCAAAAUGCAGAGGCUUAGGUCUGCUACUAGGCAGCCCAUUCUAGCACCCUAGAAAAAGGAGCCUACAUUGGGUAAGCAAGCUUCCUAUAUCAAAACGUGCAACUUGGGUAAUGGGGAUAGAAUUCGGUUCUGGGAUGACCUGUGGUGGGGGGAACAACCUUUGGGUGUCCAAUAUCCAAGAUUACUUAGAGUAGUCACGGAUAAAAAUGCUCCUAUUUCAUCAAUUCUUGGUUCUACCCGCCCUUUCUCUUGGAAUUUCACUUUUCGCCGAAAUCUUUCUGAUUCUGAGAUAGAAGAUCUAGAGGGCCUUAUGCAGUCUUUUGAUCGUCUACACAUUUCAUCUUCGGUUCCAGAUAAGAGAUCUUGGUCCUUAUCCCCUUCAGGUCUUUUCACAGUCAAAUCUUUCUUUCUGGCCUUAUCCCAAUAUUCUGUGUCGCCUCCAAUUUUCCCUACCAAGUUUGUCUGGAAUGCUCAAGUCCCUUUUAAAGUCAAGUCCUUUGUCUGGUUGGUGGCUCACAAGAAGGUUAAUACUAAUGACUUGCUACAAUUGAGAAGACCUUACAAAGCACUUAGCCCUGACAUAUGUAAGUUGUGCAUGAAGCAUGGAGAAACAGUAGAUCACCUAUUCCUUCAUUGCUCUUUGACGAUAGGGUUGUGGCACAGAUUAUUUCAAUCAGCAAAGAUGGAUUGGGUUUCCCCAAGGAGCAUCUCUGACAUGUUAGCUAGUAAUUUUAAUGGUUUUGGAUUUUCCAAGAGAGGGAUUGUUUUAUGGCAAAACGCGUGCAUCGCGUUAAUGUGGUGGUGUGGCGGGAAAGAAAUGCAAGAUUUUCGAGGAUAAGCAAGAAUUCUGAGUAUCUUUGGGAUUCUAUUUGUUUUCUUACCUCUUUUGGGCUUUUUNNNNNNNNNNNNNNNNNNNNNNNNNNNNNNNNNNNNNNNNNNNNNNNNNNNNNNNNNNNNNNNNNNNNNNNNNNNNNNNNNNNNNNNNNNNNNNNNNNNNACAAUUGAGAAGACCUUACAAAGCACUUAGCCCUGACAUAUGUAAGUUGUGCAUGAAGCAUGGAGAAACAGUAGAUCACCUAUUCCUUCAUUGCUCUUUGACGAUAGGGUUGUGGCACAGAUUAUUUCAAUCAGCAAAGAUGGAUUGGGUUUCCCCAAGGAGCAUCUCUGACAUGUUAGCUAGUAAUUUUAAUGGUUUUGGAUUUUCCAAGAGAGGGAUUGUUUUAUGGCAAAACGCGUGCAUCGCGUUAAUGUGGGUGGUGUGGCGGGAAAGAAAUGCAAGGAUUUUCGAGGAUAAAGCAAGGAAUUCUGAGUAUCUUUGGGAUUCUAUUUGUUUUCUUACCUCUUUUUGGGCUUUUUGUUCUAAGGUUUUUAAGGGGAUUCCUCUUAAUAUGCUACAACUUGAUUGGUUAGCGGCGUGUAACUAGAGUGUCUACUUUUCUCUUUUUGCACUUUCUUAUAUUUGAUUUCUUGUAGUCUUGUUUUUCUUUGAUGGGAGGAUUCCUCAUCCUUCUUUUGUACCUUCUUUUUAUCAAUAUAUUCCUUUGUCGUUUCCUAUCAAAAAAAAAAAAAAAAAAAAAAAAAAAAAUAUUUUCCCAUUUAUCUGCUGCAAAUGGUUCUNNNNNNNNNNNNNNNNNNNNNNNNNNNNNNNNNNNNNNNNNNNNNNNNNNNNNNNNNNNNNNNNNNNNNNNNNNNNNNNNNNNNNNNNNNNNNNNNNNNNGAAGCAUGGAGAAACAGUAGAUCACCUAUUCCUUCAUUGCUCUUUGACGAUAGGGUUGUGGCACAGAUUAUUUCAAUCAGCAAAGAUGGAUUGGGUUUCCCCAAGGAGCAUCUCUGACAUGUUAGCUAGUAAUUUUAAUGGUUUUGGAUUUUCCAAGAGAGGGAUUGUUUUAUGGCAAAACGCGUGCAUCGCGUUAAUGUGGGUGGUGUGGCGGGAAAGAAAUGCAAGGAUUUUCGAGGAUAAAGCAAGGAAUUCUGAGUAUCUUUGGGAUUCUAUUUGUUUUCUUACCUCUUUUUGGGCUUUUUGUUCUAAGGUUUUUAAGGGGAUUCCUCUUAAUAUGCUACAACUUGAUUGGUUAGCGGCGUGUAACUAGAGUGUCUACUUUUCUCUUUUUGCACUUUCUUAUAUUUGAUUUCUUGUAGUCUUGUUUUUCUUUGAUGGGAGGAUUCCUCAUCCUUCUUUUGUACCUUCUUUUUAUCAAUAUAUUCCUUUGUCGUUUCCUAUCAAAAAAAAAAAAAAAAAAAAAAAAAAAAAUAUUUUCCCAUUUAUCUGCUGCAAAUGGUUCUUUGUGAUUUUUCAUUGUUUGAGACUUUGAUCAGUAGCUGGCAGUAAAGUUUGAUUUUGCAUUUUUCUUCUGAAUUUGGUGUUCACUAUAAGUCCAUUAAUUUUGUAGGUGGAUCAUGAGAGACAAAACUGAGGUGCAGAAAUGGAAGACGAAUGUUGUGUGACAGAGAGUAUUCUUUGCAAUACUCGGUCAAAAUGGAGUUGGUUUGAGGUAAAAGCACUUGCACUAUCUCAGAGCAUCAGUCUAAUCAUGUCUCAUUUGAUUUUUGUGUUAAAGAAUUUUAAAAGCUAUUUUAAAACCUGUAGCUAGUUUAAAAGUUAAGUGAUGGUUUAAUGGUUUUCAAGCUGGACCAAAUAAAUUAGGGUGAUGCUACUAUUUUGGACCAAUGUUAAUUUAAUGGCAAGGUCAUGAUUAGAGCCACCUAAGAGCGUAUAAGAUUUUAUUAUCUCUUUUUGGUACUGCUUAGGUCAAUCCUUCUUCAAUGAGAGGAACCUUCUUGGGUGGAAAUGGGAGUUUUGUGGGCAAAAGGCAGAGGAAAGCAUGGAAACCUGUGCCACUAUGUUUGUUUUUUAUUAUUUGGGUGGAUAAAAAUCAUAGAUAGUUUGAAGAUGUGGAAUAGCCCAAAUGCUUAAAACCUGUUUCAUAUGUGCCCUUCUCCUUUGCUGAAGAGAGUGUCUUGAUGCUUGAUCUGUGUUUAUGUUAGAUUGCAUUGACUGGUUGGCUUCUUAUUAAUGGGAGGGUGCUGGUUUUUUAUUUUCCAUUUUGAAUUUGAGCACCCAUGGCAUACUACAUGUUUGUUGGUUGAAAUCUUGGUUGUUUAAAACAUGUGAGAGAAAAGUUGAGAAAAAAAUAUGUAGAAACUUUAUCCUUGGACACAUCAUCUUCACUAACUUCGGUUUUCUUGUCACAGAAUGACCACUUACAGCAGAAUAACAACCCAUUGUCUUUUAAUCAGCCAUCAAUGAUGUUAAAAGACACUAGUCAAGAUAGAGAAACUCAGCCAUCAAUGAGCUUAAACAAGAUUUGGCUAAUAGGUUUGGUAUAGAGGGACAAUUGGAGGACCAACAGAGGAUAGGCUGGAAACUCAUGUAUGUGGAUCAUGAGAAUGACGUUCUGCUAGUGGGGGAUGAUCCUAGGGAGUAAGUUCUCUAUUUCAUUAGUUAAUAGAGCUCAUUUAUAUUUGUGCAUUUUAAUAUGAAGGAGUGGUAAUACUAGAAAAUGUGGAAUAGGAAACAUUCGGAUUCUGAAGGAGUUAUGAGGUGGGAUCAAUUCAAGGUAAUGAUGCGGGAAAGUAUCUAACAUGAUGUGGUCAUUUGCAUUGAAGACCGUCUGAUGCACCAAUAAAAAAAAAAUGGUUAGAUUUAGAUUGAAGGAGGGAUGAGAGUAGAGGAAGCCCAAGAACGGCAUAGGUUAACAUGGGGAGAAAACACAUGAUUUCAUUUGAUUUAACAGAGUAUGCCUUUAGCAGAGCCAAAUGGCAAUGGGGGAUUUCUGUAUCAAAGCUGAAAUAGUUGGGAUUUAAGGAUUUUAUGAGUUGGGUAAUAGUCAAUUUUGUUGAUUUGUUGUCAAUCUUUGGGGGCACUGUUGGAGAGAGUAAAAUUACAGAUAGUUUGAACAUCGUGCUCAUGUAUGAUGGUAUAUUUGUACUUUGGCAAACUUCUAUUUACUUCAAGUUUUCCUGAGUAGCUAAGUUUGAUCUAGAAAAUGGAUCAAUGUGGUGUGUGUUGCACCAGUACAUUGAAAUGUGGCAUGAUGGUGUAGGUUCAUUUAGAGUAUUUAUUUAGAAAACAAUAAACAAUCUCAAAUAAAAUAUCAAUUUGCUUUUUCCAUUAGUAAAAAGUGGAUUAAUAAAACAUUUUAUUUAAAAUGAAACUCUCUGUUCUAUUAUAUUUCGAUUUGUUACUUUUAAUAUAUUUUAAUUCUCAAAAUGAUUCUGAAGGAGAGUGAUUCUUUUGAUUGUUAGUUAUGUUGUGGGAAUGAGAGUAAACCAUGAUUUGGAAUAUGUUAUUUGGACCAUAAAUAACUAGGCUAUUAGCAUUUUUCUGUACCCUACAGUGUCUAAUACUUCACUUUGAAUAGCAUGGAACUAUUGCUUACUUUAUUAAGAAUAGCUUUGAUUGUAUAUCUGAUUCUGGUAACAAGUUGACUUCGUGCUAGAUUCAUUUGAUUUGGACAAUAAAUAUCAUUUUAUUUAAUGGCAAGAAAGCAUGAUUUUUCAUUUGGUUCUUAUUUAAUUUUUUUACUGUUGUUGCUUUGGUCAAUGUAAUUUUCUCUACAUGUAUAUUAUGUUUAUUUAAUGUUACAUUAUAACCUCAUUAUGUUUUUUUUUUUUUUGCUUUUCUCUUGAAAUGAACGCUGAUGUUUUGACUUAGUAGGUGAAUUUAGGUUAAAAGAUGAGUACUCCGGAUGCAACUCGAGCAGAACUUGCUCUUGUAAUUUUGUAUUUGAACAAAGCUGAAGCUAGGGAUAAGAUAUGCAGGGCAAUACAAUAUGGUUUGAAAAUUUGGAGUGAUGGACAGCCUGGUACUGCCCAAAAUGUUGACAAAUCAACCAGCUUGGCAUGGAAAGUUUUCCAUCUUUUUAAGGUUGGGUGAUACCGUACAUUGUGGUGUAAAACUUUUAUCUAUAUAUAUAUAUAUAUAUUAAUCUUGUCUCCUAUUUCUGUUGGCUUCUCCAUUGUAUACAUAAGCAAAAGGGGCACCCUUAGUGCAUUAAAAAAAAAAAUUGAUGUUGAACUUGCAUUAAAUCAAACACCAGAAUGAGCAUUCAAGUAUCCUGUGAAAACGAUGGACCUAUAAGUACUGAUUACAGAUGCUUAUGAUGAGAUGAUCUAUUUGGAUGAACUCAGGUCUCACAAAUGGGACCAUUAAUAUCUGAAGCCUCUUAUACAAAAUGGUACUAUUUUUUACCUAGGUAUUGAUUGAAUUUGUAUGAUAAUGAACCCCAAGAACCAUCCAGAUGUAUAGUUACAGAAUUGUAAGUUAAUUAUGAGCUAAUUCAAUACGAUCGUUUUAGUAUGUAACAUUUUUUUCCUGGUGGACUUGGAACCUUAAGCCUCCCACAACCCCACGCAGUCCUCUUCAGUACCACUUCAGGCAAAGGCAUCAAGGGCAAAGUAUUCAAAACCGAAUUCACUCGUACCCAAACAGAACAAUGGCAUGCCUGUGGCAACACACAGUAAAAUGUGAUCAUCCCAUCUCAAGAAUCACCUCACGCGUAAUGCGCAACAAGGGUAUAGCUCGUGAUGUGAGCAAUCAAAGCUCUGCUUGUGUAAAAAGAGAUACCCUAAUCCCACAUUCAGGGUAUAUUCAUUCCAGGCAUGAACAAGUGUGGAUCCCACCAGGAAAAAAAGAAGGCAAAAUCUGACUCAUGAGAAUAAAUAUGGGCUCUGGCAAACUCCCAAUGAGAAAGACGGCUAUCAAGGGGCAAAACAAAAGUAGUUGAAGAAACAAAUAUGGUAAUUGUGUCUUUAUCCAAAAAAAAAAACGAAGUUUACCAUUUAACAUCUAGUUUCAAACAUUUAUGGGCAUCACAUCCAUUUUCAAAUCAAGGAGAACGAUGGCAAAAAGCACCCCUUCACAAUGUAAGUUUAGACUAAUUUAAGUGUCUUCGAAUCGUAGGCAUAAUCUGUGUAUGAGACAACACCUUACAAAGUUAAAAGCCAGUCUAUAUAUUCUUAGUGCUUCCCAACAGUUGUCUCCUGAAAAGCACAAUAGCAUGUUCUUUAGAAGACAUCUGGAUGGAAAUGGCCAGGGAUGGAGCUACUUUGCUGAGCCUGCCUCAGGUGCAUUGAGAGUGCAUAGUUAUUCACCUGUUACACCAUCACAAGAUCAAAUAAUAGUGUCAUUGCACUACAGAAAAUUUACAAAAACACCAGGAAAACAAUUUUUGUAAUGAUGAUCUGGCUACCAAGAAAUCAUGUUUUGAAUAAAAGAUUGGGGAACUACUGAAAAGCAAAUUUAAGAAAAACCAUGCAAUCUGUGAAAUGGAUUGAAACUUUUCCCAUCUAAAAUUAACUAACAUGUAGUUCAGAAGAUUUCAGGUUUAUGAGCUUUACCUCUAGCGUUCUCAACUACUCCUGGUACUGGGUGACCACCUGCUUCAGGUGCUGUAAUUCCUGGUUCCUCUCUUCACUCUCUUUCUGACGCUCAUGCUGAAUAGACACAGCCCGCUAGAGAAUUAUGUUCUCCUGAAGCAGAGCUUCCACUUCUUCCUUCAGCAUCAAGUUUUCCUAUAAUAAGACAAACCAUAAGUAAAACAACAAAUAUGAUGGACACAUACAUUCUGCACCUGGUUGAUAACAGUAACAACAACAAUAACAACAAUAACAACAACAAAUAUCUAAUACAAAUUCAUAAAAUUAACAAAUGAUGAUUCUAAUUGUGGAUACAUUCUUCCUCAUAAGGUAAAAUCAAUAUUCAGGCAGUGAUCCAAUUACCAGCCAAUCUUUUGGUCACUCCCAGCCAUGCAUCCUGCUUCCAUUUCAGGAUGUACUACUCUCUCAGCUUCACUCUAUAUCCCUUUUACCUCGAUUUCAGGAUCAUCCCUCAUUUGGCUUAUCAAAUCGAGCAUACCUUUAAUGAUCUAUAGAUGAGCUAGGUCUGAUGCAAACCAGAUGAUUCAUUCAGAUGUACAAAUGGAUCUAGUAAGGGUAAGCCCACAUUAAACCUAGUCUGCUCUUUUACCUAAAGUAUAUUUUAUUGUAUGAACUUUGCUUUGAAUGAGCCUUGCAAAUGGAAAGUGCCAUCAUUCUACAUGAACCAUUUCUCAAUUUCCUAUAUACAUUUACUAUUUUAAGUCAGAAAAUGGUACGCUUAGAAAAUGCAUACCAACUUUUCACAUCAAAAACUAAACAUAAGAGAAACCUCAAUCAAGAAGCAAAAAAGGCAGAAACCAAGAAAUCAUAUAAAGAACCAAAUGUUUGAGAUGUAUUAUUGUACCUCACCAGCAUAUAAUUCAUCAACCUGGAACUGAUUGGGAGAUAAAACUCCAACUUCAUCAGCAAAAUAAUCCUGCAAUCAAAGAUUAAGCAGUUAAGAAAUUAGCAUAAAGGAUGUCACGAAUAUUUAGAAUCUUUCAAACCAAAACAGUGAUCAUAAAGACCACUAAAGAAAACUUUAAUAUGCACAACAAUUCUUCAAAGUUAAUUAUUUGAAUAACACUACAUUGAUGGAAAAUGGAACGUGGUGUAUAGAACCAUGUGCAAAUAUCUACAAUGAGAAAAUAAUGCCUGCCAAUGUAAUUUAAUUGAGUUCGGAAAGAAAGACAAAAAACAAAUAAUACUUGAAAGAAAUACUUUACCUUCUUGCUAGCCAUAAAAUAAAUCCUGUCACCUUUCUUUAUAGUCCCAUCAAUGACUCGAAAAUAUACGAUCACUCCUCUAUAUGGAUCAUAGUAACUGAAAAGGUUUGAAGAAAUGAUAUUUAUACACACCCAAAUAAUGCAAAGGCUAAUAUGUUAUAUGCUGAAAUUAAAAUAGCAAAGAGAAAACAAAAGAAGAAUGCAUGGAAUAGGACAAUUUGUUUUCAACAUCAAAAAGCCCUAUAAUUUUGGGCCAAAAUAUGAAAGUUUAUUAUUUAUGUUGUGAAAAUAUAAUUUUAUAAAUGUUUUCUGAAACUUUUACAUCAGCUGUUAUUUAGACAACAGCAGCAUUUAAUUCCACAAUAAAUUCACAAGAGUUGGACAUGCAACAUUUUGCACCAGCAUCCCUCUUUUUACGCAUAUCUCAAUCCAAAAAAAACAAACCAAACCAAACCCCACCCCCCAACACAAAUAAAAAAGGCAAGAAAAAAAGCCUCUUCUCCUUUCAGUCUUUCAAAUGUUCAUUUAUUUUCUUAGCAGCCACAUUCAUGCUUAUGUUUACUUUCGGACUUACGCCUAUCGAAAAAGGUAAAAAUCAAUUUCUGCAUCAUCCAAGGUUCCACUUCAUUGAUAUGUUUCAGCCAAUUCAAAUAUGAAGACAUUUCAGAAAUGCAAUGUACAAGGCAUGACUUUUAGAAAUGGAUUCUGAAUUGCCAAGGUUACACAGCUUCCUUUUUCCAAGUUCAACCUUUACACAACCUUUUGUAUCACCAUAAGAAGUAUAUGGUAGUCAAUUUCUAUUUGGAAAAUGUGUAUCUAUAAAAAAAUUUGUCAUGUAAGCUAGCAAACUCAUUAGCUUGCAUGUUCAAUAAAAUCACUAAGAUUAUAACAUAAUUAACUGGCAUGUAUGAUAUGCAUUUGUUUAUUCAUUAUGUAAGAAUACUAGUAUUGAAUGUGAUCUAAACUUUCAUUCAAUAAUAAGAGAAGAGAGACCAUGCAUUAUAUAGGACAAGUGACAGACCAUUAGAGCAUAAUUGAACUUGAGUUCAUGAAUGUUGAGAAGUUCAACCAUGAUGUGUGAAUCAGAUACCUAUCAAAUAUUAAAGCCCUCAAAGGUCUUUCUGCAGUAUCACAGGAUGGGGGAAUCCUUAACUAAGGUAGUACCUAGGGUCCCUUAAGGUAGUACCUAAGGGCCAUUAAGGUAGUACCUAAAGGCUCUUAACGUAGUACCUAAGGUACAGUCCCAAAAAACAAAGGGUGGACAACUUUAGCACACAAGAGAAGCACAUAAUGGCAUGGUAUAAGGGUCACAAAGGAAGGCUCGAGACUUGGGAGAGGUAGAAUUCAAGUUUAGUUAAGGUAGUGCCUAAGGUCCCCUAAGGUAGUACCUAAGGGCCAUUAAGGUAGUACCCAAGGGCUCUUAAGGUAGUACCUAAGUUACAGUCCCAAAAAACCAAUGGUGGACCACUUCAACACUGAAGAGAACCACAUAAUGGGAUGCUAUAAGGGUCACCAAGGAAGACCCGAGGCUUGGGAGAGGUUGAGUUCAAGUUUACUUUAAGGUAGUACCUAGGGUCCCUUAAGGUAGUACCUCAAGGUCACUAAGGUAGUACCUAAAGGCCCUUAAAGUAGUACCUAAGGUACAAUCCCAAAAACCCUUUGGUGGACCACUUCAACACUCAAGAGAACCAUAUAAUGGGAUGCUCUAAGGGUCACAAAGGAAGACUCGAGGCUUGGGAGAGGUUGAGUUCAUGUUUACCUUAAGGUAGUACCUAAGUUACAGUCCCAAAAAACCUUUGGUGGACCUCUUGAGCACUCAAGAGAACCACAUAAUGGGAUGCUCUAAGGGUCACAAAGGGGAACCCAAGAAGCAAAAUCCGGGAGAAAUUUGUUCCGGUUCACAUAUGAGUCUGUUGAGCUGGCCCAAGGGGAAGGCAUUUUCGGUAUGAAAUAACACCUCGGACCAGAGUGCAUGAAAAGGAAAAAUUUUCUUGAAAUAGUGGACAUAUCUUGGGUUAUGCAAACUUGGGUUUUGAAAACAAUAUUAUUGGGAAAUGGGGCCCCAAAACACAACUUUCCCUUCAUAAUUCCUGUGUUCAUGGUGUACUUCCAUUUUUGCUAGACACCUUCUAAUAAAAUUUUAUUUUCCUAUUAACAAAAAA
rnacentral:lncRNA from 1 species